rnacentral:lncRNA from 1 species
GAGAAAGAAACUUAGUAACAUGCUUUGGGAGGAAGAAAACUCCAAUAAAGUCUGUCUCAACAGAGGUCACCUCCCACCCAUAAGACACGGAAAUUCCAGUUCCUGCUGGGAGUUCUGGUGGCCAUCCUUAUCCCUAGUCUCUUGUCAUUGUUCAAGGAUUAGGGAAAAUACCUCUCAACCUGCUAGAUUUAAGCAGCAAUAAAUGGGAUUGUUUAUAGGGUCAGUGGGCCCAGGAUACUAAGGGACAGACAUCAGUCAAAAGCAUUUUCCAAAAAAAUCCUUUAUAUUUUAAUCAAGUCACUAUAAAGACAUGAUGUGUCCUAGUUUCUCAGAUGUUCAACCCAACAGUCUCUUUCUUUAACUUCUGGGCUGCCUUUCAGAACUGAUCAGAGUAGAGAUUUGAAGAUCCCCUGUUGGAGUAUCCAACACAAAAGACUGUCUGGACUCAGGCACCGUACACAUACCCUGUCACUGCUCCUCUCCAUUGAGGUAAUCUGUUUUUUCUCUAAUCAUCUCCAAAUGAUUGAUAAUGUUGAUACCCCAUAUAAGUUUUUCUUUAUCAUUUGGACAUUAAAAGGUGAGUUUCCUGUGUUCUCUAAAAGAGACAAUAGAAAGCAAUCCUUUGCUCUACUUUAGACCUUUAUUAUUACUUAAUUAAAUUAUAUCUCACAGGAAAUGUUAAAUCAUUUCAAAUAAACAAAAAAUCCCCCAGUGAGCUUCUGUGCUUUUGUCCAAGUGUCACUGGCACACAAACUCCAGUAGUUCCUACAGUUUUAUGUGUCUCAUGGAUCCCAGGAAUGUGACUUAUGUCUAUAAUGCUGUUCUAUAGUGGGAGUGGCAAACUUUUUCUGUUAAGAGCUAAAUAGUAAAUAUUUUCUUCGGCUUUGUGGGCAGUAUGGUCUAUGUAUCAACUACUCAACCGUGCUGUAAUAGUAGUGUAAAAGCAGUCAUAGACAAUACAAAUUCCAAUAAAACUUUAUUUACAAAAACAGGUGGCAGACUGGUUUCAGCCCAUGAGCUGUAGUGUGUUAACCUUUGCUCUCUGGCCCUGUGAAUUCUUCAUGUUCACACAGCAUCUUGAAGAAAUGAGGCCC